rnacentral:lncRNA from 1 species
CAGGGUAUUGUUAAGACCUUCAAACUUCAGAUACAGACACUCACUGAAUGCGAGCGCUUUAAAGACUAGAGUUUUCAUCUUGCAAGAAACUCAGAGUCAAAAUCAAAACCAGCUGAGGUAGUUACUCGGGUGCCUGCCUUCAGCUCAUUCAAAAGAAUAUGGGAUGAACGGUAAGAAUUAAGUAAACCACAAAUUAUUUUGGAGUAUCUGGUUUGUAUUAUAAAUAAAUUUUUUACUGCUGUUU